UAAGAAUUUAAAAGUCGAACAGACUUACUCCUAAGAACUCUACUUCUUAUAAUUUUCUUAAUUCAACAUCGAGGUCGCAAAAUAUAAUAUAGAUAUGAACUCCCCAUUAAAAUUACGCUGUUAUCCCUAAGGUAACUUAAUCUUAUUAUCCUAUGUGAAGGGAUCUAAACUUACACAUAUCAGUGAAUUUUUAAACUAAAGUUAAAUAUUUAAUUACCACCCCAGCAAAAUAUAAAUAAAUCUUUAUAUAUAUAUAAAAAAUAUAAAAUAUAAAAAAAUAAAUUUAUAUAAAGUUCUAUAGGGUCUUAUCGUCCCAAUAAUUUAUUAAAGCAUUUUAACUUUAAUUUUAAAUUCUAAUAUUUUUUAAUAAUAAAAUAUAUUCCUCAUACAUCCAUUCAUACAAGCUUUCAAUUAAAAAACUAAUUACUAUGCUACCUUUGCACAGUCAAAAUACUGCAGCCAUUUAGAAAUUUACCAUAGGGCAGAAGAUACUUUUUAUAAAACCA
rnacentral:rRNA from 1 species